rnacentral:lncRNA from 1 species
CAAUGGGUGACUCCCCCACUGAAGAAGUUGUACAUGUGUAUCACAUCCACUCAGGGACUCAGAAAUCUCAUCCCUUCUCAUAUUCUCCCUCACUUUCUCAAACUCUUCAUCUCUUCUCUCUGCCCAGGGCAGCCUUGGGCCUUCCCCAGCUAUCUCCUAGUAACAGGCCCAUGGUUACCCCACCAACUAAGAGUCCCCUACAGGUUCCAGAGGCCCAGCUAAGUCCAGUGACUUCUUUUACUUCUCCCAGGAAGAUCCUUGUGACUCAAACUCAAUCAGGCUCCUCCUGCCUACGUGGUGACAUGGGCACAUAAACAUAAAUGCCUGUACACACACACACACACACCCUGUGAUUAACUAAAUCUCAGUUUACUCACACAUAUACCAUGGAUAAACUUGUGCCAGAACAGUUGCUGGGCAACCCCAAACAGGCCUGGACAUACAAAGAUCAGAGAAGGGCCAUCACAUAGACACCACAGUCAGCAACACUGAUGGAACCAGGGUACCAGGAACCUACGUAUCAAUCAGACACACUGGCUAAUAUGCACUUACAUACAAAUGAAGUAAGGCCAGUACAUAAAAAGAUACCACCCUCCUCCCCAUGGCCAGCUUCAACUACGAUAUGGGAUCCUUUAAAACACUUAGAAUUCCAGGGAGUGCUCCAGCCCUCUUGCUAAUGGGGAUUCUCCUAGCUCCCUUAUGUCAACCUAGGGUGGGCUGUGAUCUGUUUCCCGCUCCAUAGGUGGCUUGAGACACAGCGAGGAAUCCCCUUUUCCAUGUUCCAGAGCGUUUUGACCUCUCAUUGGUCAGGCCAGUCCAAGCCACCCAGUGCCAGGAGGGGAAGCCACAGUCCAGGAGACUACAUUAGGACAAUCCAAGUAUCCCCUUCCCCCUAGACUUCAGUGUUCCUUGGGGGUUUUGCUAGGUCUAACCUGGGCAUGGAGGUGUUCCCCACUUUUCAGACCCCUGAAUAUUGAGCUUUAAUUAAAGAAACACUAUAAGUCUCCAGCCUCAGGCAAAAAACAAACCAAGGGAACCUUCACUGCCUCUUUCAGGUAAAGCACCAGUUCACACCCUCUGGACCACUUGUUGAGUCCUUGGUGGGCUCAGUUGGGAAUUCCAGCCCACAUCUGGGCUCCAGUCAGAUGCACUGGGACCCCUGACUCUCAUAGCUCCGACACCAGAGCUAGAAAGAGGCUUCAGGAAGCUUUUAUCCCCUUAGCCUGCCCCUCU